UCGCCCGUGCUCCAGAAUAGCUCUUGGAAACGGGUGGUAAUGCUGGAUGCUCCAACUUGACGCAUGUCUUGUUGGGGAAAAGUGUUUAGUGGCAUGGGGAUGGGGUCGCGUCCUAUCAGCUUGUAAGCGGGGUAAUGGCCCACCUAGGCUUCGACGGGUAGCCGGCCUGAGAGGGCGGACGGCCACAUUGGGACUGAGAUACGGCCCAGACUCCUACGGGAGGCAGCAGUGGGGAAUAUUGCGCAAUGGGGAAAACCCUGACGCAGCGACGCCGCGUGCGGGAUGAAGGCCUUCGGGGUUGUAAACCGCUUUUGAUUGGGGAGCAAGCCUUUUGGGGUGAGUGUACCUUUCGAAUAAGCGCCGGGCUAACUACGUGCCCAGCAGCCGCGGGUAAAUA
rnacentral:rRNA from 1 species